ACGAACGCUGGCGGCAGGCCUAACACAUGCAAGUCGAGCGAGAUCUUCGGGUCUAGCGGCGGCCGGGUGAGUAACGCGUGGGAAUAUGCCCUUCUCUGCGGAAUAGCCUCGGGAAACUGAGCGUAAUACCGCAUACGCCCUUUGGGGGAAAGAUUUAUCGGAGAAGGAUUAGCCCGCGUUGGAUUAGGUCGUUGGUGGGGUAACGGCCUACCAAGCCGACGAUCCAUGGCUGGUGUGAGAGGAUGCUCAGCCACACUGGGACUGAGACGCGGCCCAGACUCCUACGGGGGGCAGCAGUGGGGAAUCGUAGACGAUGGGGGCAACCCUGCUCGAGCCAUGCCGCGUGGGUGAUGAAGGCCUUAGGGUUGUAGAGCUCUUUCUGCUGGGAAGAUAAUGUCGGUACCAGCAGAAGAAGCCCCGGCUAACUCCGUG
rnacentral:rRNA from 1 species